AAAUAAUAAUUAGUGAAUAAGAGUCCAGUUGAAGGUCUUAUUUAGAGACAGACUGGUCCUCUAUGUCCCCCUGAGAUAUUCUGAGCUGCAUCAGAUGAUUUUAUAAUUACAAUAACAACAAUAUUCACAAUGUCAUCAACUCCCCAGUUUAAACCAUUCAAGGUUAGGGGAUAUUAAAUAAUUAG